rnacentral:rRNA from 1 species
UCCUACGGGAGGCAGCAGUAGGGAAUCUUCGGCAAUGGGGGCAACCCUGACCGAGCAACGCCGCGUGAGUGAAGAAGGUUUUCGGAUCGUAAAGCUCUGUUGUAAGAGAAGAACGUGUGUGAGAGUGGAAAGUUCACACAGUGACGGUAACUUACCAGAAAGGGACGGCUAACUACGUGCCAGCAGCCGCGGUAAUACGUAGGUCCCGAGCGUUGUCCGGAUUUAUUGGGCGUAAAGCGAGCGCAGGCGGUUUAAUAAGUCUGAAGUUAAAGGCAGUGGCUUAACCAUUGUUCGCUUUGGAACCUGUUAAACUUGAGUGCAGAAGAGGAAAGUGGAAUUCCAUGUGUAGCGGUGAAAUGCGCAGAGAUAUGGAGGAACACCAGUGGCGAAGGCGACUUUCUGGUCUGUAACUGACGCUGAGGCUCGAAAGCGUGGGGAGCAAACAGGAUUAGAUACCCUGGUAGUC